GCUCCCUUCGUCUAUCGGUUAGGACGUCAGGUUUUCAACCUGAAAAGAGGGGUUCGACUCCCCUAGGGAGCGCCA
rnacentral:tRNA from 1 species